AUAUAUAUGUAUAUAUGUAUAUAUAUGUGUGUGUGUAUAUAUAUGUGUGUGUGUGUAUAUAUAUAUGUGUGUGUGUAUAUAUAUGUAUAUGUAUAUAUAUGUGUGUGUAUAUGUAUAUAUAUAUGUAUAUGUGUAUAUGUAUAUAUAUAUGUAUAUGUAUAUUUAUAUGUAUAUGUAUAUAUAUACAUGUAUAUGUAUAUUUAUAUGUAUAUGUAUAUACAUAUAAAUGUGUCCAUUUUGAAAGACUUGCAGUUAGAUGGCAGUUUUGUUCAGUGAAUUGUGAUAUAUUUUUUAAAAUUCAGAUAUGUAACAAGACAACAUUUACAUUUACAUUAUACUCAUAUGACCUGAUGUGUCUUAGGUAGGAGGGAGGCUGUGACCUGAAGUAAGGUCCCCCAGCUUUGUGUCCAGCUGUGGGUGUUGCAGAAACAUGGCAUCCAUCCUAAUCAACUGGCCACUGGGUUGCUGUCAGCAGAAGUUUUCAGGAUUAUAAAUCAUAUAGUUUUGAAAUGCCAAAAGAUGCUAUGUAACUUUUGAGAUAAUAAAUAGUAUCAUAGUCCGUCUGACACAAUGGAAAUUUAAAUUCAUAAAUGACACAAUUGGCUCCUUGUCGAGUUCAAUAACUCAGGCUGGUUGUUGUUUGCGAAGGAUAAUGCAAGCAAGACUGAUGGAAUGGCUGGUUAAGCUCGUCUGAUAUUUCACUAUAUCUCAGUAAGGUCACCAAGUCCUCAACCCUUUAGUGCAACUGGCAUGAGACAGUCUUUGAAAAAAGGAAAUCUAGAUGGCCUAUCCACAAUUCCAAAACUUAGCCAGCUUUUAUGAUUGAGUAUAUUGCAUGUUUAAAAUUGAAAACAACGAUCAACCUUUAAGACCUUAGGUUGAUAGAUAUUCUUGUAAAGUUUUAAGUCUUACAAGAUGGAAUAAUCAGGGUUUCAUAGCACUAAUCCGGGAUUUCCACCGCAUCCGAAACGGCUCUGAUCCAGAACGGAGGCGAUUUUUGCCAUCUGCCAUUUCCUACCUGAUCCGAUUGUGAGGCGAAUUUCAUGGCGAAUUACAGACAGCGGGAUUCGCAAGAACUUACAAGAACCCGCUGAUUCACGUGCAAUCAUGCAAUAUCAAGUUGUCUUGAGCCACGUAGGCUAACCAUAUUAGCAGUAGAUUGUGUCCUUCCAGAGGAGGAAAUCUACUUCUAGACUUUUAGAAUCAGCAUCUCCUCAUCCGUGGUAUCAUCAGGGUGAAACGCUGUCUAAAAACCUUUCAAUCCGCCUGAAACACGGAGUGUUUUAUUUUGAAAAGAAGCCAGAUUUUUUAUUUUAUGUCUGUGCCUGACUUUUUUUCCAGCAUGGGUUAAUCUGUGCUGAAUUUAUCCGGCAUGCUCCAGCGUCAGAAAAAAAUAGAACUCUUGCGAUCAGCUGCGGAGUCCGGCGAUCAGAAAUGGAACGGAAAGGUGCAGGUGGAAAUUGACGCAUUAACUUGAAUGGUUACAAUCAGCUAUGAUCAGUGGACGUAGCCGUUCCGGAUGCAGUGGAAAUUGCCAGUAACCUGUUUUAUAUUCACAUUUUAUUUGGCAUUAUAAAAACCAUGAAUGCAACCCUGAAAUAUUGAUGUUUGUUUCCUGUCACAACAUUUAUGAUUGCAUGUAUUACUGAAUGUCAAAACAUUUGUCCAGUAUUUCAGCAAUGAAAACUGAACAGAAAGACUGAUAGGUCAAGAGUGCAUUGUUAUGAUUUGCUUGCCAAAAUCUAUGUAUUGUAUAUUCUUAUUCAAAAAAAGGCAGUGUACCAUGUUUAUCUUGCUGAAAACAUGAUAAUUCAUGCAGAGACAGGAGGUGGUGCAAAAUGUGGCAGUGAUACAAUGUGGGCAGCUGAGCCAAAUCAUAAAUACAUGCCCUGUGUCAGGAUGAUGCACCAAGCUUAAAAUAUAAGUCAAAGAUAGGCUUAAUAUUAUCAGGCUAAAUGCAGAGCUGUGAUUACAGGUACACCUUAAAUCCUCAUCCUAAAUUCAAACCUGGACACAAGUUUAAUUUGAGCUCGAAAUGUGUUUUAUUCUCCAUUUCUCAAAUGACACUGCUUUGGAAUCAGCUCUGUGUGGGCAGAGGACACAGCAGAAGUGCAAGAUAGCAUUUCAUCUUUUUAACUGCUUGUGAAAAGCGAGGUGUUAUCUAAUGAAAUCUAAUGAAAAUGAGAAACACUAUUCCCCCUGCAGAGCCUCCGUCAGAAGAAUGUCAGAACAACCGAGCUUUUGCCCCCACGGUCGCUCCCCGCUUCCUUCUUUCAUAAUGAAUAUAACAGGCUUCCAUAACGAGGCUAUUAUAGACUCCAGCCUCCCAGCCGAACAGAGAAUUAGAUAAGAGGGCACCUGGACACUUCAGCAGCCAUCAAAAUAGAUGUCAAUCAAAUUAGUCGAGGUCUGUGCGUUUCUCUGGUUUUACUCCUGAAAGACAAGUACACACAAUCUCACCACGAGGAUUCCUCAACCCCCUGAUUUACCGCGCGCAGUCAAAAUGCUGUCAUUAAAACGGACCCUUUAAAAUCCCAACCUUUUAUUUUUUUAAAAGCAACCUUUGAAUAAAAAAAUAAAUAAAUCAUAGCAGACACCAUAGUUGUAAGAUAGAGUGACAAGCCAUUUCUAGGAGUGCAAAAGCUCAACAACAGCAAAACUGACAGCCUCUGAGAGCUUUAAUGAAAAAUGAUGCCCCCAAGGGUUUGUAUCAGCAGUUAGCCUUUUCCAUGAACUCUAAAUAAAUGAAGUCUGCAGAGAUGAAGAAUAAAAGUCAGCAGACGUGCUCCUGGCGAUGCGUGUUGUUUUUUUUUAGAUAGAAAGUUUGAAGCUGGAUGCUGUCAUUGCAAUAUGCUAACCGUCACAAUGACAUUGGAGGUUUUGAUAAAUUUAAGUGUUUCCAACAUUUACAGUAAUCUGAGGUGUUGGUGGUGUACGUUCGUCUUUGCUUAUCUGCACAAAUCUCACAUGAGCUAAUUGAGAUAUUUCACCAAAAACGCAAAUAAUCGUAUAGAGUCUUUGGAGGCCAAUUAGGAAAUAAGUUGGCAAGUUUUAUCACCAAAAAAAGAGAUCCUUAUUACAUUCAUAAAACAGCAGGAAACCCUGGUGGCAGCAACAUAACGACAGUCUGCCUCGGUCAGUUUUCCCAGGACAUCAUGCAGAUGGUUAUGGAUGAAACAAUAAGACAGACAGAUUUGACGUUUUAAGCACACUGUUGGUACUUUCCCUCCUCAUAGUCGCUGGUCAGAUACAAAACAUUAUUAAAGCUCAUACCUCGGGCUCAGUAAGAGAGCUGAAACAACAUAAACACACAGUAAAAACACAAAGAUGCAAACAGAGCAGGAAUACAAAGGCAUGUAAUUCACUGUGACACAGCAGGAACACUUCACAUAGGCAAAUACAUGCAUAAAAAAUAAUUGAAAAUAAAGCUGAUUCCUUCACUAAGUUAAGUAAUUCAUCGUUUUAAGUUUGUUUUUUAAUUAUUAAAUGUAAAAAAAGAAAGUUUAAAUUAUCCUCAUAAAUUAUUAUUUCUUUGCUGAAUAAGAUUUUGUUUUUUUGGGAUGCAUAUGAGACGCAUACAGAUGAGUUUUCUGACUCUGCUUUACAGAGUUUUCUCAGCGUGCUUAGAAGUGUAAUGUAAGCUUCCCAUGCGCAGAGAUGGAGUUGUUAUUUAUUUGCUUCCUCAAAAAUAAGUGCAGAAAAUUAGUGGGAGGGGGAGUCAAAUAAGGGCUGAAGGCUUCCUGGGUUAUCAUCAGAGAGGGUUGGAGGGAGAAGGAGAGAGGGGUGCCAAACAAUGAAAGAUUUUGCCUGUGGGCAGUAAAAAAGAAAAAAAUCUGCAGCCCCAUCAACACAACUGUCACGUUUUGAGUUUUUUUUUCUUCAAGAAGUGAAGAUGGCUGACAGUGAGAGAGCAGAAACAUGCAAAAAAAAAAAAAGACAUUAGUUAUAGAAAUAUACCUCUUGACAGUGCUUGACACUGCAUAUUAUUAAACACUGCUGUGAUUUACUCUGUAAUUACGAAAGGAAACGGGCUGCAGAGUGGCAUGUCGUUUUAAAGUGUCGUUUUCUAAGCCUCCCAUACGCUCAACAGUAUCUCACAGGGAAUUAUUUACCAAAGAUUCCAGUCUUGAUGUGGUAUUAAACAGGCUUUAUCUAAAUGUCAGUGCUGUAGUGAUUGUCGAUUAUGUAGCCUGUAUUGAUUCCGAAUUGUACUUUGUCUGCAGGGUCCUUCCUCACUUGUCCUCAGCAGCCCUGGUCUCUGUAGCCACCGCCCACAGCUUAGUCAGAAUCUCUGCAGCUCCUUUUUAUUUUUUUUCUGCAUUCAGGGGGACUUGAUUUCCUUCCUUAAUGCUUUAUAACCCUGCCACUGUCUCCAGGCAACUCAAAGGCUGUUGAGCUCGUUAAGUCUCUAUCCCCUGAAGAGGCUGACUUCCUUGAAGAUUUUAUGCACUUGCAGAACCUCUGCGUAUUUCUGUUGAAGAUCAGAUCAUAUUCACACACCAAGCACUUGGAGAAUAAUUAGAGCAGUAAUAGUGUUAGGCAGUCUGAGCCCUGAUUAAAUUGCUUUUAAUAUGGCUAUUUGAAGCAGUUGCUUUUGACAUGACUGUGAUUUCAAAGAACAAAAAGGAGAGAAGCUUUCAGGAGUGCAGGACUGGUAAAAACAGCAACCUUGGUCUCCCACAUUUUAUGUUUUUAGUCUGCUUUUUAAAAAAAUAAGAUAAAAAAAUUAAGCUUCUGGAAUAAUUUCUCUCAUCAGCAUAACUUGAAACAUUAACACUGAACCUGUAUACACAGUGUGCACAGCUAAGGUUAUUCUAUAUCAACAAGCAUGCUGAAGGUAUGGCUUGAAAAUUAGACAAAAAAACUUAAGUCAAUCAUUGUGCGAUAACCAUUAUCAACCAUUAAGCAGUGGGGCUGUCAUUUGUACGAAUAUCCAACAUCAUGUGCAAAUGUUUGGAUACGCUCAGAUAGGGACUUGUCUUAUCAGUGAUGGUCUCUGUCCAACACUCUAACUGCGUCCACUCAUCAAGCGCGAGUAAAACCAUUUGCGUGAAUGAAUUACAUGUGGAGUCAAUGUAAAGACGCGUUUAGACGCUCCUAUUACUCUCCUACUACUACUCUGGUGGCGCAAAUGACACGAAUUGGGCUAAAUAUGUCUCAACUUGAGCAGGUAUUUGUGUCACGAUAACUAAUCGGCACAGUGGUUGCUGGGUGACAUAUGAAAACUGGUGUCUAAAAUGGAGGACAAACUGAUCGUGUUGGUGUGUGGGUGCCCCAAAUUAUAUGAUAUCUUUUCGUUCAAUUUCCAAAACCAGAAUAAAAAGGGGUUCGCCCGGAGGAAAGUGAGUGAAGAGGUCGGUUUAUCUGGCAAAUUGUAAAAAUCACUUGAUCCCGCUGGUUGAAUUGGCAGGGAUUACCGUUGACGGGCGAAUGAAGCGAGUAAAUGCUAUUCAUUCACGUGUCUAGAUUCGCAAGAACUAAACGAGUGGAUGAUUUCACUCGCGCUUGGUGUGAGCGCCCUAUAACGGAGGGCUUGUUGUAAAAAGGCAGUCAUACGGGGGUGAACACUUGCUGUCGUGCUGCUUGUUGGCGGUGCCUCCUUCCACUGCUGCUUCAUGUGUGCAAACCAUCAGGUGAGCCCACAAAUUUGUCUUUGUUGGACUGCUGCUUUGUACAAAGUGUUCAGGCAUCCUUAUCUUUGUCUAUUUGCCAUUUUCGCACAACAGCAUUACUGUAUAAGUAUACCAACCAAGUUAUGAUGAGAGCGCCUUCUGCUGGGUCACACUGACACUGUCUUUUGUUUGUGGCAGCCUUGGGUUGAAUGAUGACAGUAGAUCUGUUCCUCUUUUUCAAAUACGCCUCAGAGCUUUUGGAGACAUAACACAAAAAUGACAGAGAUUGUUUUUCUUCCAAGCACGUGGAAAACAAUUGAGGUAUCAGUGACCGCUGCCAAACCCAAAGCUGCACCAUGAAAUGCAAACUGUCAUAGAGCACCUUAGCAUUGUAGCAGUAGCCAUGAACUGAAGCUUACUAGACCCGAUAUACGACCAGAAUUUCUGGCCAAAAGUAAAAAGUGUUAUCUGUUCCAGAGUUGUAAUUCUGGUGCCAGCUAGUGAGAUUGAUGACAUUUUAAUUGUUUCUUUAACCAGUUUUAAAAUUCCAAGUUUGAAUCCAUCUUGUUCCAAGAAGCAGGGUGACUAAAUGUGCAGUUUCACCAUCUUGUUUUCUUUUUCAAGUCUCAAGUUCCACUGACAGCAAAUAUCCACCAGUAGAAGUGUCCUUGAGCUGGUCCCUGAUUCUCGGUCCAUGAGACAGUUGUUGACACUGAGUUUUGACCUCCCAGUGGAUAGAGGAAGCCAUAAUUGAAUUCUUAGGGGAUCAGUGUAGUGUUGAAAAAAAUAAAAACAGCAGGAGUCAUGGCUGUAUUACUGUGGGAAAUUGAAAACAGGAGUGUAUGAAGUACCAGCGUCAGAUCGCUCCCAUCUGAAAUAAAGUUAUAUCUGCAGUUUUAUUGCGUUCAUCUCAAGUUUUUGGUGGAAAUAAAACAGCGCAUAGAUACAUCUAAUUUUAAAAUGACCAAUGUUAUAACCCAAAAAGAGCAUAAAUUACAAAGUUUGAUGAAGAAAAUCUUAUGAUUCAACAAGGUGUGAUGAAUUGAGAGGAUUAUUUGAAACAGCAACGGAUGUUUGUUAUAUAUGGAGCGAGAAAUGCCAGACAACACUGAAAUGUAUUGGUGCUUGAAGCGGGUUAUUCUUUUGAUACACCAGUUAAAUUUGUUUCUAGUGUGUAAUUCCUCUUUUAUUUUCUCAGGAAUUUAAGAGAAUUUGACAGAUCUCCUGGCCUGUUCAGAGAAACCAAAAUAAUAAUGUUCUGAGUCGUGCUGGUAUUGGAAACACAGCAUGCCAAGGAUGUUUCAUAAAAGGUAUUCAUGUGCCUGCUCUGAUAACAGAAAUUACAUGUCUAAUAAGCCAGGAACAAGAAAUCUGUGCUGUUGUUUCUUCAGAGAUCCUUGGUUUCAGGAAGAAAAAAAAAAAAAAGCUCUAUAGCAGCAUUAAGUACAUAAUUACAGCUACUGCUGUUUUUCCUGUGGAGCAGAAUUGAAAACCACAGUCUGUGUACCAAUCUUUUUAUAUAAGCAGGUAAUAGAAGGAAAAUGUUUCCAUUCUGUGGUCAGUGACAAAUAAGGAUGGGGGCUGCAAGAAGGGCCAGCUUCACACUGUGACACUGCUGGGAGAGUGGCACAUUGUUAAGAAGUGGCAUAGAGUAGAGCUAAAUGAUAAAUUGAACAUAAAAGAGUAAAAGGGUAACACUUUAUUUGACGCCUAUCUCUGUAACACAUUAUAAAUAUAAGUAUAAUGCAUUAUAAUCACGUUAUAGCACUGUAUAACUAUAGUUAUAAAGACUCAUAAAUGAUCAUAAUGCUUUAAAGCAAUAAUUAUAACACAUUAUAAAGCAUUUGGUUGUGACUUGUGAGGUCAGGUAUUACAAUGUGUUAUGCUUAUUGUUAUCAAGCCUUAUGAUAAUUAAUGAGCGUUUAUAAUGAUAGUUAUACAAGUUUAUUAGCAAAUUAUAACACAUCAUAAAUAUAGGUAUAAUGCAUUAUCUAUGUGGGCAUUGUCAGUGAGUUGUUAACAGUUAUAACACAUUAUAAUAACUGGCCUCGUGUCAGAUAAAUUGUUACCAAAAGUUAAAUAGUAGGACGUGAUGUUAGUUAUAUAAGCUGAAACUACGCCCCCCCCCAAAAAAAAAAUAAAUAAAAUAAAAUAAAAAAAAAUAGUAUUGAGUCUACAUUCAACAUUGGUCUGAUAUUGUAAUGCUGCACAGAACAGAAACUGUCACUGCUGGCUGUGCUGGCACAGUCUGUUUCCAUGUGCCAUCAAUGUAGAAUGUAAAUUUGCACAUCAGCUGCGAUUCUCCCGUUGUUGCAGUUAAGGUCAGCACAAGAAAGUGUCGACCUUCUUCUUUUGGAGCCCGUUAACCUUAUCGCAAAAUGAAGGUUCUCACCUAAGCUUCUGGGCCUGCAGUGCACGUACAUGGUAGUGAUGCAAAAAUCAUAUGCAGAAGAAGAUAGUGAGUUUUUGUUUGGUCAUAAAUUACCAUCACAGAGCGUCUGCUGCAGAUGAAACAUCAUUUUUACCAUUGAUAGGAAAUUUAGACUGUGUUUAAGUCUUUUGCAUUGAUUGAUAAAGUUUAUGUCGUUGCAUGUUACUCCAUUUGUAUUCUGUCCUCCUCUGUAAUUUUUAAGCACUUAAAACAUACUGCAUUUAUCCAGUACUGCAACAUAUGGUGCAUAAAGGAAAUCCCUCUUGAGAUGAUGGGUAAUCUGUCUCAAGCGACAUUAAAUACCAGCGAUGUUUGACUGUUUUAACUCAGAAUUAAAUGAAUCAGGUAUCAUCUACUCUGUGCAAGCACUUGAGGGAGUGACACUAAAACUUUACAAGAAAACUUCAACUUUACAUCAUCUAACUAUCCAGACCAAAUUUCCUGUCUGAAAAUAUGUGAAUUGCUAAGCUUUCAUCCAGCAAAAAGAAAGUAUUAUAUAACCAGAAUGUCUGGUGUGUUUUAUAGUUCCGGUUGCCUGCAGACACAAUAUGUCAGAGACAUUUUCAAGUCUCAUCUCAUCAGAGGGCAACACUCCUGCUCAUCUGCGACACAUUACAGCACGAUUCAACAAUAUUUUCAUGUAUGUUUGACACAGCCCUUUAUAGGCACAAUCUCUUCUCUCAGUUGUUCCCAAACAUUUGUCUGACAUUUCUUUUUUUCUCACAGACCAACAAAAAAAAAAAAAAAAGAGACAGCAUCCUCAGCCACAACCCUCUCAAAACAGCAACGGCAAAGACACCUUCAGUACUGUAUAUAUUUCACAGGUAGCGCCUUUGUAGUUUUCCGUUGUCUGAAUGCUCUUGUGCGCUCCUCCAGCAUUACACCGCACAUCAAAUGCCUCAGUAAAAGUCUGUGGCCUGCAUUUGUUCCUACACAAAACGCAACUCACAGCCAGACUAAUGUCUCUUGUGGCUUUCGACAAUUCUGAAAAAUCAAGGUUCAUCCCAGAUCACUCCUAUCAGGGACAAACGAGCCGCAUUGCUAUUAAAGAGAAAAAUAUAAUUUCACAUUAGAUUAUUUCCCUAUGCUACAAUGUCUGCAUCUGUUUUCCCAGAAGCAAUUGCAUAUUGUUCUGCAUUUCAAUACUGCAAUACAAGCCAUUAGACAAGGGCAAUUGAGUGGGGUUGUCAAAUUCAAGAAGAUCUAUGGUGUUGAUGGAGAGGAGGAGGAUAUAUAGAGCUUUUUCCAAGAGAUGUAAGUGAGGGAAUUGUGUCCUGCUUUACUCCUAUUUUUUAGGGUUUUGGGAUACUUUUGCAAAGAUAUUAUUUUAGCAAACUCUAUAUAACAAAAAAAGUACAUAUUCAGUAUCUACUUUUAUAAUCAAUAACAACAGAGACACAGGAGAGUUUUGAGAUAUACAAAAAUUUAAUACCAGAGUACUCAUAGGAGUGUUAUCAUACGGCUAUAUCUGAAUUUCCAGUUAUGCAAGUGCUGCAUAAUACUCUGGGGGGAAGCUCGGAGAUUGCAUAUGCGUUGUUAUCAACUCAGAGAUAACAUGCAAUCAUUGUGGCUGCAUUAUCACGGGACUGCUGGCAUGUAUCUUUUGUGACAACAUCACCCGAGCAAUUCAGUGUGAUUGCUUUUCAUUCUCAUUCAAAUUGUAUGUAUUCAAAGAGCAGUUGAAUGCAUCUGGUGUUAUGAUAAAAUGGAGAUAAUGGAGAGUUUAAAGUGAACGCCAGUUGAUUGAGGUUUUGAUUAUUAAGCAUAAUUAGAUCAUCAAACUCCCAUGUCUUGCAGAAAAAGAGUAUUUGAGAAUAUCUUGAACUGCUCGGGAAUGUUUUCAACACUUUCACAUUUUAUCACCAGCUCCAGAGUCAAAAAUCCACUUCAGGCAACUUGACGUGAUUUUUGCAGCAAGCUUCAAUGGUGUCAAGCAUAUUUCUUUAUAAAACGCUGCCUGUCCCACACCUUACCCACGGCUGUGCAGUCUGUCACCCAAACGGAGCGUGUCCAUCUGUCCCUUCCCAUUUACGCUCUGUUGUUCUCACCGCGGCUCAGCCCGUCAUGUAACGCAGUGAUGGUUGACAGCUGUUUGUUGAUUCAAUGCCACGGCUUAUUUCCUCUGUCUGUUUGUUUUGAUGUCAGCGUUCAGCAGGAUCAUUGGGUGAGUCAGCACGCCUCUGUUUCAAUGCCCACUCCUGACAUCAGGACACACUCACCACAAAGUAGUAAGUUCGUCUUUUUAUGUUUUUUUUAUUUUGGGCAUGUCUGACCAAUUCGAGGAGACCCCAUCUAUAAGUGAAUGACUGCUUUAGGUUAGCAUUCACCUCUAAUGUGGAUGCUAAAUUGCAAUAAGAGGAUUAGCUAAAUUCAUGCAGCAUGAAAAGGCUGUGUAUGUGGGCAUAUGUAUUUAUGUGGUAUGACUAUUUUGCAUGUUGACUGUUUAGGGAAUUAAAUAAGGGGAGCAAGAUGCAAGCAGCUUAAUGCUAAAGCUGGCAUACUAACAGACACAUAACACUAAAUUUGAACUCAGCAAGAUAUGUCGAAUAGCAUUGCUGAUACAGAUUCCAAUGCCUAAAUGCCAAUAAAGACCCCUCUGAAACCAACACAGAAUUGAAAAAAAACAAAAAGUGCAAGGUAAGUGACUUCCCUCAUGCUAUCUGCUGGCACAACAGGGUCAAAUUUUAUAAUUUUCUAUACCAUGUGCUUUAAAAUAAUAACAUUUCUUUUCCACUCAGAGCCGGCCCAAGGCAUAAGCAAACUAAGCGCCUGCUUCGGGCCCCGCGGCCAGAAGGGGGCCCCCAAGAGCAGUCAAAGAAAAAGGGCUCUAUUUUCAUGCCUCGCCGACAGCGCAGAAUAUUUGUUGUUGUUGAUUAUUUAUUGCACUGAAAUGUGCCUGACACUGUGGAAACCUGCCGGUGAGGCAUCGGUGACGUAUGUGCACUACGCUGCCAGUCUACCAAAAUACCACUAGACUAGCUGCGCUCCGCCUGCGCUGAAAGCUGACCAGAUUUGAAUCAGCGAGCUUUCAGCACACUUUCUACGCCGCCGCCGGGCAUGAAAAUGUCACUGCGCCAGUUGAUUCGGUCAACAGCUCCCCUUGCCGAGCCACCACGCCCAGCUUGGUGGACCUCGGUAUGCCUCAGUCCACAAAAAUACCAAACUGGCUGUGCACUGGGCUCCACCAGACAAAAUACCCCUGUGCGGUGUCUGCCACCCUCCACCGUGCCGCCGGCGGGCACAAAAAUAGAGCCCAAAAUGCCUAAAUAUUUUUUUAUUUUUUCGCUACUGUUAUGUGCCGCUUGGUGUGCAAUGUGCACUGAGCAUCCAAAGCGCAGGUAGUUGUGGGGCAAAACAAUGUUGCGAAAAAGGACAUAUCCUUCAGGAGCAGAGAAAAGACAGAGGAAGAAGAGGGAAAACGCCAAGACAAAGGUAUGUUUCCAUGUCAUGGAAUGAGAUUUGUGAAGGUGUGUGAAUGAUCAACAACCAAAUUUAUUGGCAAAAAUAAAGGGCCCAAAAAUCAUAUUUUACUUUGGGCCCUUUUGAGGCUUGGGCCGGCUCUGUUUCCGUUUAAUAAUAUCAAAGAGCACCAACGCAAAUUAAAAGAAAAAAAAACAGAUUUUCGCUCUUUUUAAACCCAAACUGUCAUUAUGCAAAUAAGAGGGGAGAGCAAGCAACAAUGGUGGUUUGACAUAGAGAUAAAGUAAAGAGAGAGAAAGAGCACUAGGGAGGUAAACAAAGCAGUGAAACAUCGUAAAAUUAGGUGUAUCAGCCAUCGUGAGCAGAUUAUUAGUAUAAUGAGUAAAAAAUAAAACAUUUCUAGUUUAUUUUCUAUUAAAUUAUUGGAGUUGUGUGAAUGUGUAUUUCAUAUCAUAUCACCCACAAUAAUACUGGUAUAAUUUCUUUUGUGUCAUAUCAACCUACAGUCGGUCCCACGGAGCAUCCCAGCAAAUCAAGGCUGACCCGUACAUUCCCUCGCUGAAGAGCACCGCCUCCUCAUGUCAGAGCUGAUGCCAGUGUUGACAGGAAAAGUGUUAUGAGGCUCAGUCUACUGCUAAACCUUUGUUCUCUCUUCUUUAAGUUUCCCAUCUGCUAUUACCAGCAACAUAAAGUGGGUGCGCUUUCCCUCAGUGCUUCUUUUUGGGUCUGUCUGGGGCUUCAACAGCUGCUUUGAGCUGAAAUUGCUUGACUUGUUCAACUUGAGCUCAGCACAGCACAGCACUUACUGGCUUAUAGGAUCCUUACUCUGACUUAUGAUCUAUUGCGCUCAUUUAAAAUACAGCUGUGGCAGAUGAGGUCAGGGUAUCAUCAAAGUAUUUGAGAUUGCCUAGAUAUAUCUGAGCACUGUGUGUCUCUCUGGCUCUCCAAAAAGUCAUGGCAAUACUUCCAUUAAAUGUUGCAACACUUCAUUCUGGAUCAUAAAGCGGUUCCCCAUGUGUGGCCGAAAUCAACCCUCACUGGUUGAAAGAGUUGUAAAUAAAAAACAGAAUUAUCC